rnacentral:lncRNA from 1 species
AACUAUUGGUCAGCAAUUAGCCUUUAUAAUAGUGGAGGAAAUAAUAUAUUGUAAUCUGUAUUCACCAAAUGUCCUCUAGAUUCUGAAGCCUACCUUGAGGUCAGCGUUCCAGCAGAACAAAGAGUGAACAAUCCUGAGGAAAUGAAAGAGAAAAACAAAACUGAAGGCUCAUCUGGAACCUCCAGAAGUGCUGUAUCCCUGGCCAUGGUGCUUCCACCUGAAGUUCCUUGUGAGAAUCCUGGUGAGAUAUUCAUUUUUCUGAAAGAUGAAGUAGUUGGUGAAACCGUGGAGGCUGAGUUUGUAUCACAUGCUAAGUACAUUCGAGCACGGCUGGCCCUUUGGGAUAAGAACGUCUGGUGUAUGAAAGCUCUAGAUUUUCCUCCUGGGCCAGUCAAUGUCCGUGUCUACUGUGAUGGAAUUCUGACAGCCACAGGAGAGAUGAAAUACUCCUCGCCAGCCAUGGUGGUGAAAGGUCCAACUAGAGCGGCAGACUCAGAAGGGACUUUGUGCUGGAAUGAUAUUGAAGAACUUGAUGGCAUUCUUGCAUCCAUAUUCAAACAUGAGAUACCAUAUUAUGACUUCCAAUCUCUUCAAAGUGAAAUUUGCCCUCAAAAUGAAUAUAUGCAUAUCAACGAACUCCCAACUCUCCUCCACUGUGCUGCAAAGUUUGGCUUAAAGAACCUGGCUCUUCAUCUGCUUCAAUGUUCAGGAGCGAACUGGGCAUCAAAGAUGAAAAAUACAAGUGGAGCAGAUCCAGCUCACAUUGCUAAAAAGUACGGGCAUGAAGAACUCAAGAAAAUCUUUGAAGACUUUUCAAUCCAAGAAAUUAGUAGAAAUAAUGAGCAAUUAAAUGACGAUGAAAAGGAUAGAGCCUCCCCUUCUGCAUACUCUCCUUCCUCAGAGAGUACGGCCUUGCACCGUGGAAGGAGGACCAAGCCCAGGCAGAGUGAGGGAGUCACAGACGCCACCGAGGAGACGGGGGAGGGACAGGAGCCUGAGCCAGGUGAGGAUGUGCAGCUCAGCCCCACAGAGGGGUCCAGCGAGAGCUCUGAGGACCCCUAUGAUGACCUGUAUGUCUUCAUCCCGGUGACCGAGCUGGACCCUGAGGGAGAGCCGCCAGCCUGCUGCAGACCCCCGCUGCCCUCACCGCGCCCAGCCUGUGCUGCCCUCCAGCCCGAGAAACCUCCCUCGGCCUCGCAGGGGAAAACUGGGGAAAGCCCGGUGGAAAGAAGUCACAACUGGAAUGAUUUCAGGGCAAGACAGGAAACAAGAGAUGAACCCAAAGGAGGAGAAGCAAAGAAAGAAGAUGAAAAGGUGCAGGAGGCAGAGGAGGACCCAUACACGUUUGCUAAGAUUGAUGAGAACGAGUACGACAUGAUUCUGAGCAAUAUGAGUGUAAAGAAAAAACCUGGAAGCCAGUCUUUCAUCAUGAACAGACCUCCCGCGCCCACACCCCGACCCACCACCACCUUUCCCAAAGAGGAGACCAUGUCUUACAUAGCUCAAGUUUUCCAGCAGAAGGCAGCCAGAAGACAAUCUGACAGUGACAAGUCCCACGGUCUUCCUAAGAAACCAGACAAAGCACGGAUGGAGAGCCCAGCCAUGUCCAUUCCAAGGGGCUGCCUGGCAGCCGGGCAGGAAGAACUCAUCCUCCUGCAGGAGAAAGUCAAAAAUGGGAAGCUGUCUGUGGAUGAAGCCCUGGAGAAAUUCAAACAUUGGCAGAUGGGAAAGAGCAGCCUGGAAAUGAUUCAGCAGGAAAAGCUACGCCAACUACGAGACAACAUUAUUGGGAAAAGACCAGAAGAAGAAAAUAUCUGUGAUAAACUCAUCAUUGUGCACCACCCAAGUGGUACCACUGCCCACAAUGAAAACAUGUUGCAUAACACCCCCUUCAGCAAUAAGGUUCCUGCUCCACUCCAAGUUGAAAAAGAAUUUGGUUUCUGUUGCAGGAAAUAUCAUUAAAGAAGGUAAAAUAUUAGCCAUGUAUAUUAGAAAAACUAAAGGAGAUUUGUUAGGGACUUGAAUCAUUUAUCUGGGACAUGGCAGUCUUUAAAUAUUUUAUUGUCUUCUCCUGAAAGGAUAAACAUGUGUAUUUUUCAAGUUAAAAGUGAUUAUUCCUUAGCAAGAUUUAUGUAUAGGGGUGAUUUUGUACUGCAUAAUAAAUUUGAUUGUUGAGUCAUUAUUCACAAGUACGUUUCCUGUUAUCUCAUCUGCAGGUAUUAUAAUGAAACCCCAGACUGCAGACACUGUGCUUUCUGGGAGAAGCUAGCUCGCAUUUGGAUUUUCUUCUCCCUCCAGGGCAAAUUUAUACUGUGAAUUCUUGAAAGCAGAAGCAAGCCGGGGAUUUGGGGAUAUGUAAUUACCACAACGUAUUGGUGAUACCUGUCUCAAAUAAGUCCAUCCAUGCUGGAAUAGCAUAUCAUGGACCAAUGGCAUUCUGGGAAAAUGCCUGUAUUUUAAAACGACUUUGUCUCCAAUGAAAUGAGUUCUCAUUUUGCAAAUUAAAGAAAAAUAAGAGCAGAGAAGGUAAAUGCUGUAUAGCAAGGUGACAGGGCCCCUCAAGGGGCCAACCUGAAUGGCUUACUCCUCUUCUGAGACUCACCUUGACAGCACAGACUCCCAGCUUACACAUUUGCCUUUUAGGGACAGGUCUGCUGUCUGUAUUUCUUACAACCAGAGCUCUUAUUACUUUUGUUAUAUCGUGUUUCCAGAAACCUUCCUGUAUUUAGUGCCUCUCUGCAUGUAACCCUCAAAAACAUUCUAUUUUAAAAAGUUUUUUCUGUACUUCAAAUUAAGAUGCAUUUCUAUAACCUGUAUUUUUUAUUAAAAAGCUCUAAAAUUGCAUCUACUUAUUUCUUAGAAACAAUUUACUAGCUUGAAAUAGAAUGCAGUGUUAUAUUACUAUUUCCAUGCACAAAUACUGCAAAUAAAUUGAGUGUUUAAAUCUGUGCGGCUUUUCAAAACAAAUUAAUGAGAAUUAACCAAAAAAUGUUUCUGCUGAUUUGUUUAAAGGAAGUCUACCAAACUCUUUUAAAUAAGCUUGUUUAUAUUCAUUAGAUAAGCCCUAGAGAGAAGAAUAGACAUAAAUGAUUUUUUUUCUUCAUUUCUAAACAUUGACAGCAGUGUCUGUUUGGAGUCAUUCUAAAAAAUACACAUCCUAGGUUUCUGAUACCGGUUAACAUUCUCAAAUAAGCUCAACUUUUAAAAAUAAUGCAGUAGCUUCAUCAGUCCCUAAUAGAAAGUACUUUUGAUUGUGACUUCUGGAAAUUUAAUCUGUAGUUUCACAUCCAAGAUUUCAAGAAAUUGCAUGGCCUCCCCUGCACUGAGGCCCAUGCCUAUGAACCACCCCAUUCAGGGAGUUAGAAAAACCAAUAGGAGAGCUGAGACCUUUUCUGCAAUUUCCCAGAUACAUGCAAUUCAAAUAAACACAUCAUGUCUAAAGGAAGAGCUUGCAUGCAGAUCUGGGACUGAUGACUACAGUUCACCAUUCACUGGCUUUGUUCUUAUUAAAAAUGUGAAAUCCAAUGGCAGGUAAAAUGCCAGCCUUUCUGAUCAUAACACGAUUCAUUCAUUUCUUCCCUGAGACAUAGUCAAGGAUGAAAGUGAGAGAUAAGGCCUGAGUGUUAUUUAGGUAUCAGGUUAUGCCCGAGAGUUAUCAAGGGACUCCCAAUUGCCUGAAUGAGGAUACAGCAGGGGAUAAAAGAAUAAUAUACAAAAAAACAAGGAAUAAAGAAAUGAGAACAAAUGGUAGAUUAUUACUUGGGGGCCGGGGUCUGAUCUUAGCUCUCUCCUGGCUAAGAUCACACGAUCCUCCUUCUUGUCAGCAGUUAUUGUUUACCCAACAUAGCAGAGUGCAUACAGGCAGAUGUAAACAAUAGCAAAACCAAUGUACUAUUGGGCCAGGCUUGGAAAAGGGAGGAACAAUGCUUUCCUGUGAAGGACAGCUCACAGUUAACAGGCCACCUGUGUUAUCUUAUAGGUUGUAGCUAACAAGCCACC